UGCGGACGCAGCGGGCAUGCGCGAGGAUGCCUGUUUCGGGGGCGUGGCUGAGGAUCGGGUGCUGCAAAAGCCCAGGUCCUCGGCGCGGCACUUUCGCAAAAGCAACAGUUCAGGUAGCUCCACUUCAGUGGCCCACUGGGCCUGCGGCGUCCAGGCACGAAGGACCGAUCAGACCCUGGCCCACUCCAGCUGGCCCCGGGACUACCGUGCCCUCCUGGCUUGGUCCCUUGACUUAGCGCCAGCCGGGCAGAGCUGAGCUGCAGCGUGGGUCCAGGGGGCGGAUCCUGCGCGCCACCCGCGCUGGCAUGGCGGACUGAUGAGGACUGCCUACUCAGGAAGCUUCAAGGGCGGCUUCAGCCUGACUAAAGUUGAGGAGCGGAGCAGGCCACCCGGGAGGGUCUACCGUGGACGGACAGGUCACCCCAGGAAUAAAGGGCAAAGCAAGAAAUGGAGACUGGAUGUGAGAUCUCCCAGCUUUGAGAGCCCCAAAGUCAGUGCUUACUUGGUGUCACCAGCCUGGCACUGGCUGCAAGAACCUGAAAACUGGAGCAACCCCAGCCUGAGGCUAGAAGGCCAAAGUCAAGCUGCAGCCUUGUUGUGACAGCUAAGGUUUGUUCUGGGAGAAUGGCCACUAAGAGUCAUGAAGUGCUCAGCUGCAGUGUCAUCUAGCUAUCAGAGGCACCAUGGUGUCACUGACCAUUGAAGCCUCAACUCUGACCAUUGGCAUAGGAAGCUCUGUUUCUGCAUGCCAUCCAAAGGCUCAUCUAGCAAGUCAUGUAGGCAUAGACUUACAAUGUAAUCAGUAGCUAACUCAUAAGCCAAUUCAAUCUUAUUUUAUACCCUGCUCAGCAUGGUGUAAAGCUGGCUUCCAGCAAACGACAAGACUAAAAAGCUUAUAUAUGUCAAGGAAAAGCUUGUGAAAGUAGUUUAUAUUAAAAAAAAUAUGUAUGGCCAGGCGUGGUGGUGCACGCCUAUAAUCCCAGCACUCAGGAGGCUGAGGCAGGCGGAUUGCUGUGAGUUCGAGACCAGCCUGGGCUACAUAGUGAAUUCCAGGUCAGUCUCAACUACAGUGAGACCCUGCCUCAAAAAAAUAAAAAAUAAAAAGAUAUGUAUGUAAGGAGGAGAAGGGACUUGAGGGGAGGGGGGAAUGGAAAAAAAGAGGUGGGAUGUACCAUGUACCAGUGCAAAUUCCCUGCGAUGAGUGUUAUUAUUAUGUAUGCAUAAAAUGUACCAAUAAAUGUUUUGUUAUAAAAAAUAUGUAUGGUUACUUGUUGCUUGUUAGUUAUCUAGCCCAGGCUGGAGUUCAACCAUUCAGAAGGUUAGGGAACUCAAUCUGGGCCUUGCAGCCCAAGGUCAGUCAGCCUCAUGGAGUUUAGCCAUCAGCUAACUGAGAUCAGGAGUCUUGCAUCCUCGCUCUGUCUGAGCCAUUAAAUGGUAAAUACACUAUAUUGAAAUUUUGUUCACUGCAGACAUGUUCUUUACUUCUUCUUGAUUUCAAUUUAAUUCAAAUGAUUUAAGGGUGAUAGACUAGUGACUACCACAGGAGGUCAGUGUCCAAGUUGUGCUUGAUUUUAAGGUGUCGCUGAUUGUAUCAGUUGGGGUAAAGCAUUGCCAUUGAUUUGAUGAGCUGUUUUCUCUGAUGUUAUAAAGAUGAGAAUGUCUGUGGGUCGUUAGAGACACAGAAGCUAGGGCACAACUAUAUCAGGAAGAUUUGGGUGAUAAUCCAGAGAUUAAACCAAUGACAGUCCGACAACAAAAAUAAAAAUGAGAAAACACUUAAGCAAAGCACAAGGACAGACUUCCAGUUUACCAAUGGCAAACAGUAGGGCAAAUGAGGAUGAAAAGGC
rnacentral:lncRNA from 1 species